rnacentral:rRNA from 1 species
UGGCUGUCGUCAGCUCGUGUCGUGAGAUGUUGGGUUAAGUCCCGCAACGAGCGCAACCCUCGCCCUUAGUUGCCAGCAUUCAGUUGGGCACUCUAAGGGGACUGCCGGUGAUAAGCGAGAGGAAGGUGGGGAUGACGUCAAGUCCUCAUGGCCCUUACGGGCUGGGCUACACACGUGCUACAAUGGUGGUGACAGUGGGCAGCGAGACCGCGAGGUCGAGCUAAUCUCCAAAAGCCAUCUCAGUUCGGAUUGCACUCUGCAACUCGAGUGCAUGAAGUUGGAAUCGCUAGUAAUCGCAGAUCAGCAUGCUGCGGUGAAUACGUUCCCGGGCCUU